UACGAAGGGGGGCUAGCGUUGUUCGGAAUCACUGGGCGUAAAGCGCGCGUAGGCGGAUUGUUAAGUCAGUUGUGAAAUCCCCGGGCUCAACCCGGGAAAUGCUUCUGAUACUGGCGGACUUGAGGCCAGUAGGGGUCACUAGAACUGACGGUGGAGCGGUGAAAUGCGUAGAUAUCGUCAGGAAUGCCGGUGGUGGAAGACGGGUGACUGGGCUGGUUCUGACACUGAGGCACGAAAGCGUGGGGAGCGAACGGG
rnacentral:rRNA from 1 species